ACAUAUUUAUUUCAAUUAAAAAUUUCGAUUAAUAAUAUUUUCAUUAAAUUAUGAAAUUAUGUUUUUAUUAAAAUUCGUUACUUAUAAAUGAAUUCUUAUAAAACAUAUUAUUUAUAAAAUGUUGAUUUUAAUUCAUAUAUUUAUUAUUUUGAAAUUAUUGAUUUUAAAUUAUUUAUCGUUUUAAAUAACUAAUUGAAUGAUUUAAUAUUCUGAAAGAAAUCGGACUUGGAGCUCGGGAAGAACGAUCCAUCAGACGGGAAGUAUAAAACUACGGUUGAGGUACUGCGGGGAACGAUGGACGCGAGUAGUGGCGAGGAAUUUCACUUUAUUAUUAUUCACCUAGUUUAUGCGUAAUGUUUUAAUAGUUUAAUUAAAGAUUCUUAGUAAGUUAUGUACUUUUAUUUUGGGAAAAUAAAGGAUUAUUAUAUUAA